ACACCAGUGCUUGAUUUUGUGAUGCACAACAAAAUCAACAGUCCUGAUCAAUGGUUCUUUAGCAAUCAACGGAUUGUAUGUCCUUAAUUUCAAUCACCAGAACUGUGUACAACAUGUGCAAACAAAAGCCCCCUCAUGACUACAGGGAGCAAGUGUACCAAGGAUAUAAGGAGAUUAUUCAAGACUACACUUCCAAGGUGUUAUCAUCUCUGAGAGAGAAGUGCGAUGAACGCCUCUUAGAGGAGCUCGUGAAAAGGUGGUCAAAUCACAAAGUUUUGGUUUGAUGGUUAGCUCGGUUUUUCAGUUAUCUUGAUCAUUAUUUCCUUCCUAAGAAAAAGCUUCCGACGCUCACCGAAACUGGUCUAGGGUUCUUCCAUGAUUUGGUCUACCAGGAAAUGAAAGAGCAGAUCAGAGACAACACAAUCUCUAUGAUUGAUAAAGAGUACCGAGGAGAGAAAAUUAACAGCACCCUCUUAAAGAAUGCCGUGGAUUUCUUCGUGGAGAUUGGAAUGGGAUCCAUGACAUGCUACACAAAUGACUUUGAAGCAUCCAUGCUUAGAUACCACUGAGUACUACUCCUUGAAGGCCUCAAAUUGGAUUGUUGUCGAUUCCUACACGGAUUACAUGCUUAAGGUUGAUGGAUGCUUGAAAGAGGAGAAAGACAGGGUUUCUCAUUACUUGCAUUCUAGCAGUGAACAGUAGUUAUUAGAGAUAGUAAAAUAUGAGUUACUUUCGGUGCAUGAGAACCAGCUG